GACGAACGCUGGCGGCGUGCUUAACACAUGCAAGUCGAACGAAGAGCGACGGAAGCUUGCUUCUAUCAAUCUUAGUGGCGAACGGGUGAGUAACGCGUAAUCAACCUGCCCUUCAGAGGGGGACAACAGUUGGAAACGACUGCUAAUACCGCAUACGAUCUAACCUCGGCAUCGAGGAUAGAUGAAAGGUGGCCUCUACAUGUAAGCUAUCACUGAAGGAGGGGAUUGCGUCUGAUUAGCUAGUUGGAGGGGUAACGGCCCACCAAGGCGAUGAUCAGUAGCCGGUCUGAGAGGAUGAACGGCCACAUUGGGACUGAGACACGGCCCAGACUCCUACGGGAGGCAGCAGUGGGGAAUCUUCCGCUAUGGACGAAAGUCUGACGGAGCAACGCCGCGGGAGUGAUGGCGGCCUUCGGGUUGUAAAGCUCUGUUAAUCGGGACGAAAGGCCUUCUUGCGAAUAGUGAGAAGGAUUGACGGUACCGGAAUAGAAAGCCACGGCUAACUACGUG
rnacentral:rRNA from 1 species